CCUACGGGUGGCAGCAGUGGGGAAUAUUGGGCAAUGGGCGCAAGCCUGACCCAGCGACGCCGCGUGAGGGAAGAAGGUCUUCGGAUUGUAAAACUCUUUCAGCAGGGAAGACAAAAGGAAGGGACCUGCAGAAGAAGCCACGGCUAACUAAGGGCCAGCAGCCGCGGUAAUACGGAUGUGGCAAGCGUUAUACGGAAUUACUGGGUGUAAAGGGUGUGUAGGCGGGUUGGCAAGUCAGAUGUGAAAAUUAUGGGCUCAACCCAUAACCUGCGUCUGAAACUCACGAUCUUGAGCGUGGUAGAGGUAACCGGCAUUCCCGGUGUAGCGGUGAACUGCGUAGAUAUCGGGAGGAACACCAGUGGC
rnacentral:rRNA from 1 species